UAGUUACUUGGGACAACAGUUUUAGCAGGGCUCUCUUUCUCCUUUCCUGAUCUCUCUGUUAAGCUGCCUGGCUCAUUUGAUAUCACAUCCAAAUUAUCAGCUGAUUGCUCUAUUGUUUUGGACAAUGCCCUGAAGCAUACCAAAAUGUGUCUGGAAUUGGUGGGUUCUUGGUCUUACUGACUUUAAGAAUGAAGUUGCGGACUUUUGCGGUGAUCCACCCUACCACAUAUUGUCUCCUAAUGGCCGUCCAGUUUAUCCUGGAGCCCUUGCAUGACACAGGCCUAUCGAAGCAUAGGAGAUGCCAAUAUUUUACCUCUUGGGUACUUUCUGUGUAGAAGAUUCAUAACAAGAACAAUACUUAUUCUGCAAUUCUUUAUAUAAAGCUAAAAGAAAAUGCAUUCUGCCAACAACUAAUGAGCUUGGAAGAGAACUCCAAACCCCAGAAGAGGCCUGUCACAUUGGCUAACACCUUGAUUUCCACCCACUGAGACCUUGAGCAGAGACUUCAGUUACACCCCACCCAGACUUCUGACCUGCAAAACUUAAGAAGAAAGCCCAAAGACAAAACCAGAGGCAACUGGCUGCUGCAUCGCCCACCUAGUGGCAGUAGUGUGAGCUAUGGACAAAAGAUCUAAGUCUCCAGGACAAAGAGUUGUGCAGCUGCUCAUUUUCCUGUUGACUUCUGUCUAAGACUUGGAGAUGUUUGUAAGAUUGGGACCUACCUACAGAGCUCCAGAGGGAAGUGAGAAGGAUGUUCACUUGCUGGUGAGAGAAGGAGCUGGUUCCAUCCAUUACGCAGUCCCCUGGGAGCGCUAAAUGCAACUUUAUCUCAACGGGGAGUGGACGAUGAGCAGGACGUCGCUAGAGGGAAAGAGCCUCACUUCCCGUUUCCUUUGGCAGCGCCCUUUUCCCGACCUAAGGGAGCAGACCUUCGUUGGUUGGCGUGAGGACUGGCGGGAGAGGUUUUGUGCCAGGAUCCGCACUGUCUGGGGUGAACGCUCCUCACCUUUGACCUGAACCGCCAACUUCCCAUCCUCCACUUUUGGAGAGCGCGCCUGAUAGCUGCUGCCCACCUGGGCACUGACAUCCUCCUUCCGACCGGGUGCGGAGAAAGCACAAAGGAAGUAGACCAAGGAGACUGAAGGUGGUUAUGAAGACUGUGCAUCUCUGAGGACAUCUUAAACAAAGAUGACCCAAAUCUUUGAUCUUCAAAUAGUCGAUGUGAACUGCUUAACAAAAUGCCCUGGGAAAACUCUGUCUGAAACAAGCAGCUUGGGGGUUUGAUUUCAUUAGUUACUGGACAAGAACUGGAAUGGAGUGAAAAAUCUUCAUUCAUUUCUUGGUCAGAUGGAGAGAGGAGAAAAAAAGAAGUGGGUUUCCAUUCACUUCCAUUUUCUAACUGAUCAUUAGUUAGAGAACCUUUGGAAAGGUUUAGCUCAGUUUUUUCUUCCAACUUAUCAGGUUCCUCAAGAAAUUCACUGCCUUGAGAUGACUUUGAUAACCCAUCCAAAUCCAGUGACUUAAAACCGUUAUUACAAGGGCUCUUGCUGUUGUCUGACUCUGACAUCAUUGAAUCCAACUCAGAGAUUUUGUCAAGGUAAGCAGCAUCCAUCGAUGCUUCACUGGAUGUUCUUGUCCGGUUCAUUUCAAAAGAGCGAAUAGAAUUCAACCUUUUGGAUAAACAUAAGCCUGAUUUCUCACUCAAUUUUGAAGAUAUUUCUCCAACAGAAUUUGCUAUCGUGUUCCCCUCUGAACUUUCAAAAUCUAAGUUUUGGGCAUAGCUUGUGGAACAACAGUCCCAAAAUCCUGUCUUUGGGGAAGAAAAACAUUCUGAUUUCUUUUCAUUUUCACUUCUACUUAUAUCAUCUUCUGAAGAAUCUUUAUUAGAAACAUUUGAAGAAUCACAAAAAUCAUCAAACACCAAUUUUCUGAGAUGGUUUGAGUGCUUUUUGGAACCUCCUGCUUGGACCACAGAGCUCUCUCUAUUUUCUGGAGUACUGAGCUGAAGGCAACUAAGGGACAAAGGAGUACAAGGAGCUGGAAGAUCAUAAAGUUCUUCAUCUUUGUAGGGUACACAGUCACUUGGUUUAUUCCCCCAUUCUCUUUCCAAAUAAGUAUCCAUACUUGUAUCUGUCACAUCUAACAUUACUUCUACCUGUUCUUGAUAUAGGUCUUUGUUCUUAGAACAGUUAAGGUCUGCUUUGCUGGUACUUUCCUGCCUUGCAGAACUGGUGUCACACAGUCUGCUGCUGGAAGGCUUCGCUAGGUGAGAAGAACUGGAGGUGGAUGAGCCAGGCUGCUUUCUGGCACUAUCGCCUUGAUUCUUUGACACCACAUCCUCCUCACUGCCUUUGCUCCCUUUGCCAUCUGCAGAAAGUGCUGUCUGGCAAAUGGAAUUCAUAGCUUCUUUCUCUUCACUUGAAUUUUUUAGCUGUGCAACUUGAGAUUCUAGUUCCUCUAUAUACUUAUCACUUCGUUCCAGGGCUUUCUUGAGGCGAUUGGUUUCACGCUCAUACUGUUCUACUUUGGACUGAAGAGCAGCAACUGCAAACCUUCCAAACCUACAAAGAAUGGAAAGAUAGUUAAUCUUAUAACUCAAGCUUUUUUCUUUUCAAGGUUUGAGAGUGCAAACUGUCCCAGGCUAUUCUAAUUUCACCUAACAGUGACAUUUCAGACCACUCAAUGAGUAGGGCAAAUGCCAGAUGUAUAUUUUCAAAAAAUGGUUUCCCCACUUACAUAAUAAUAAACAUAUGAUAAUAAUAG
rnacentral:lncRNA from 1 species